UACGUAGGGGGCAAGCGUUGUCCGGAUUUAUUGGGCGUAAAGAGCGUGUAGGCGGCCUGGUAGGUCAGCUGUGAAAACUCGAGGCUCAACCUCGAGACGUCGGUUGAAACCACCUGGCUAGAGUCCGGAAGAGGAGGGUGGAAGUUCCCGGUGUAGCGGUGAAAUGCGCAGAUAUCGGGAGGAACACCAAUGGCGAAGGCAGCUCGCUGGGACGGUACUGACGCUGAGGCGCGAAAGCGUGGGGAGCAAACAGG
rnacentral:rRNA from 1 species